AGCGCGGCCGGGAGCCGGAGCCGGCCCCAGCGAAUGGCGACUGCAGCCGCCCCCUGUCGCUCUCCGGACAGUCCUACUGGCUCGACGUGUGGCUCUUCGUCCUCUUCGACCUGGCGCUGCUCGUCCUCGUCUAUCUGCUGCCCUGAGCCCGCGUGACAGCUCCUAGUCAAGAUGAGGAACCUUAUUUAUGAAAACAUACUUCGGAAGAAUAUACAUGCAACAGGACAACUGGAAAUGAGACGCUGAAACCUGUUAAGCCACUGAGUGCUAGUGAUACACAUCGAUCCAUUCAUGGAUGUACUGAUUUGAGGGGGUCUGGUUCAUCUAUAGCCUAUUUACUUCAGUGACAAUGUAAAUUGUGCCUUAAGUUAAAUUAUUUCAAAAGUUUGAGGAUAUUCUCGUUUCCAUAGCAGUAAUAUGGAUUGCUCAUUUGUCUUAAUGUUUAGUGUUUGAAUAAAGAUCAAUUGAAAAAAUGGAAUUUCAGACUGGCUGGAUAGCCCCCUCUGUAGAAGAGAUGGGUUUAGGUAGGAAGAUGUUGCCUGGUUUCUCCUCAGGUAACUUUAUUGGUUAUGACAUCCUUUUCUGACCUGGCGAGAUCAACUCCCUCUUUCAAACACUUCCAUGCAGCUCUAUCCCUCUGAGGCUUUUUAUAGGAGUUCUGUCUAGAGACGAGGAGUAGCCCUAAUAGUAAGUUUUUACUGGUGUCCUCUUAAAUUACCCAGCAUGACCCUGCUUACUAUGCUGGUUGCUUACUACCACUAUCCUUCCCUACUGGAAUAACCUGUAGUGCUGUGGAUACAUGGGGCCACAUUUUGAAAGGCAUCCUCCUCUGUGCUAACCACUACUAUUUUAUCUCCUCUAAAAUAUCAAGCAGGUUUUGACAUAAAAAUCCCCUUGUAACUAAGUAAGGCACAUAAAAAGGCAAGCCUGGCUGCUGAAAGCUUGCCUACAUUUAAAGGGCUGCACUGGUGAAGAUGUGACCUACACCACUGGGAGGGCUUUUCCUGUUGGCACAGGUACUCCACCUUCCUGAGGCAGUACCCAUGUUGAUGGGAGAAGGUGGACAUUGACAUAGGGUAAUUAGGUCAGUAUAACUACGUUGCUCAGGGGUGUUAAUUUAUACUAACCACCCAGCUACAUUCCCAGAGCCUCAGUGGUUUGUUAGUGCCACCCCAAGCAUAGCACACAAACGACAGGGGAGGAGCAAACAUACCUGUUUGUCCCCAGUAGGGAGCAUGCUCCUGCCACCUUCACUGAAAUAUCCCACCCCCUAAAUGAACAUGGAAUGCAGCACUUUCCACCAAAUGCAUGUGACACCUUUGAUCUAGCUGAAGUAAGUAGGUGAAGUGUUGCAGGAUCACAGUGGUCCUUUAACAACUGAGUUUUAAAAGACGGCAUGGGGCCUGAAGGGGAGCCAUAGGAGGAGUGGAGAAAACAGACACAAGGCUCAAGAGACCUAGGACUGCCAGAGUCCCCUGAGUGUGAGGGGAAACAGUGGGAAGUUUAGCUCACAUAGUUGAACUAUUUUUGACUAAUAAAGUUGCAUGAAAAAGAGUCCGAGGGCAUAGCCCAGGGUGCAAAAACUAGGCUCCACUAUAGAAAAAUCACAAGUGCAGCUCUGAGAUAGCUAAUUCAGUCAUUGGUCACUAAACCUUUUUAAAAAAUCUCCCACUUAUAGAUAAGCAAAGUUGAAGUAUUUGACUAUGCAUUAGGCAAUUCCAUUAGUGUCACCAGCAGCUAUCAUGCAUUGAGGGAAGCUGUAUAGAUAGAUGUCAACCACAGCACAUCUUCAUGAAUUAAAAUUUUACACAAAUAUGCUUCCUGCUAGUGUAAGCUGUAACAGUGAACAGACAUGGUUUAAACCAUCUUACACUUGAACCCCCUACAGUGAAACCCUGCUAUAACACAAUUAGGGCCCAAAAAAUUCAAUUAUGAUAAAUGCACAUUAUAGCAGGAUUACAAAAAUUUACCAUUUCAAGCCAGUCAAUUUCUCUUGGGCAGAAAAUGACUUGCAUUUGCAAACUGCCCCUAACAGUAACUGAAAGGGUGUAGCAAUAAUUAGUGACAGCAUAAGCUAAUCAACCUAUUAAAUGAGGCAGAACCAGCCUGAAUUUUGGGACUGGCAGACGGGGCUGGAGCAGCUCUUCAGAGAUCUGUACAAAGGCACUCAGCCAACUCUCCUCCAUCUGGAGAGCCAAUUGCAGCAUUUGACACUGAGUUGCUACUGAUAUUCAGAGUUCAUGCCACUGUUUUUGUAGCAUCCCUCCCAGCUGUCAGCCUGCUCCAGCAGCAGGGGUGACUUGCAAGGGGCAGAGGAAGAGCAAGGAGCUGCUGGGGAGAACAGCUGUUUUCACCAGAAGGGGAAGCAGGGCCAGGGGAAGGCACUUUUUUUUUUUGCACUUCAGCAGCACUCAGCCACCUUUUUUUCCUUUUGCACACUUGGGGUGGCAGGAGCUACCUUAUGAUUGUGUUAUAUCUGAAUUCACAUUAUCACAGGGCAUGUUAUAGCAGGGUUUCACUGUAGUAUGUUAAUAGUCAUCUUAAAAUCCACAUUUAAAAAAAUUGGCCAAGAGCAAGUUCAGAAUUCUGUCUGGAGAAAAACAAGGUGGUACAUGGUGAGAUCCUGAAUGCAACUAGCAGAAGACAAACUUCAAUUUUUUGCACAUACAGCAGAACUGAUGAUUCAAACACAAGACAGAAUUAACUUUGCAGAGAAUAAAUACUGAAGUUUCCUACAUCUAAGCUUUUUUUUCCCCGUUAAACACGAGGUAUUUCUGCCUAAUAUGUUUUAUUUGAACAGUGAUGCUCACAGCUUCACUUAGAUAGCUGAGAACUACUCUCAAGCACCACGAAUCUUCCUUCUGUUCUUAGAUGACCAACCUAAUUUGCAAAGAGUUAGUUGGUGUUCCAGCAUUUUGUUUCACCACUUCUAAACCACCUGUGUAAAAUAAUACAGAGAAUAGAGGUAGCAGCCACAAAAGUAGUUAGUUUUUAUCUAAUAGUCUGAACAUGCAGAAAAAUGCAAUUUUGCAUGAAAAUAAAAUUUGAAAGACUGAAAAAUAUAUUACAAUACCUGUUAAAUGCAUUAAAACAUUACAAAAUGUCUAUGUUCUUAUACAAAUCUAUAACCAGGACAUUUAUAAAAAAUAAAUAGGCACUCUAGCUAAUCAAUGUCAGAUCGCACAUUAGUUAACAAAUUAAAUAAACAUAGGGCAUGUAGAGUAAAUAUAAAAACUGAAGGUGUCAAUUAUAUAAUAGUGUACAUAUAACUUAUCUGGUAAACAGGUCAUAUACAAAAGGUUUUGCCUGGAAAGAGAGCUUCAAGGAAAGAUCAAUGUUCAUCUGACUUCAAUGAAGAUUGUUGCAUUUCAGAACCCCAGAAGAAUCUAAGCAACUAUUCUUGAAUAAACUCACCAAUUAUGCUCACUAGCUUUCUGGAAACCGCAUUCACAUUGUUUCUUUGUAUAGAAGUAUGAAUGUUUGCUAUGAACCUUUAAGAACAUUUUAAGUUUGCUCUUCUAUAGUAUUCAGUGUUGUUGCUGUGCUGUUUAUACAUUAAAAUACUGCAAUUCCAAAUACAAGAUUUCUGGAAAAGCU